rnacentral:rRNA from 1 species
GAUGAACGCUAGCGGGAGGCCUAACACAUGCAAGCCGAGCGGUAUUGUUUCUUCGGACAUGAGAGAGCGGCGUACGGGUGCGUAACACGUGUGCAACCUGCCUUUAUCUGGGGGAUAGCCUUUCGAAAGGAAGAUUAAUACUCCAUAAUAUAUUGAACGGCAUCGUUUAAUAUUGAAAGCUCCGGCGGAUAGAGAUGGGCACGCGCAAGAUUAGCUAGUUGGUGAGGUAACGGCUCACCAAGGCGAUGAUCUUUAGGGGGCCUGAGAGGGUGAUCCCCCACACUGGUACUGAGACACGGACCAGACUCCUACGGGAGGCAGCAGUGAGGAAUAUUGGUCAAUGGGUGCAAGCCUGAACCAGCCAUCCCGCGUGAAGGACGACUGCCCUAUGGGUUGUAAACUCCUUUUGUAUAGGGAUAAACCUACCCUCGGGAGGGUAGCUGAAGGUACUAUACGAAUAAGCACCGGCUAACUCCGUG